rnacentral:rRNA from 1 species
CUGCAGCUCAAGUGGUGAUCAUUAUUAUUGGGCCUAAAACGUCCGUAGCCGGUUUAGUAAAUGCCUGGGUAAAUCGUGUAGCUUAACUAUACGACUUCCGGGUAGACUGCUAAACUUGAGACCGGGAGAGGCUAGAGGUACUCCUGGGGUAGAGGUGAAAUUCUGUAAUCCUAGGGGGACCACCAGUGGCGAAGGCGUCUAGCUAGAACGGGUCUGACGGUGAGGGACGAAGCCCUGGGGCGCAAACCGGAUUAGAGACCCGAGUAGUCC